rnacentral:tRNA from 7 species
GGUUCGAUAGCUCAGUCGGUAGAGCAAAGGAUUGAAAAUCCUUGUGUCGGCAGUUCGAUUCUGCCUCGAACCACCA